rnacentral:rRNA from 1 species
UACGGGGGGGGCAAGCGUUGUUCGGAAUUACUGGGCGUAAAGGGCUCGCAGGCGGCCAACUAAGUCAGACGUGAAAUCCCUCGGCUUAACCGGGGAACUGCAUCUGAUACUGGAUGGCUUGAGUUCGGGAGAGGGAUGCGGAAUUCCAGGUGUAGCGGUGAAAUGCGUAGAUAUCUGGAGGAACACCGGUGGCGAAGGCGGCAUCCUGGACCGACACUGACGCUGAGGAGCGAAAGCCAGGGGAGCAAACGGG